rnacentral:rRNA from 1 species
GACGAACCGUGCGAACGUUGUUCGGAAUCACUGGGCAUAAAGGGCGCGUAGGCGGCUUGUCAAGUCAGGGGUGAAAUCCGGCAGCUUAACUGUCGAAGUGCCUUUGAUACUGAUGAGCUAGAGGGAGAUAGGGGUAUGCGGAACUUCCGGUGGAGCGGUGAAAUGCGUUGAUAUCGGAAGGAACGCCGGUGGCGAAAGCGGCGUACUGGAUCUCUUCUGACGCUGAGGUGCGAAAGCCAGGGGAGCAAACGGG